GCGAUGAAUGGUGAAAGCUCUCUCUUUAAAAGACCGAGGGUGGCUUUAGGUGACUGCUAACUUGGGCUUUUGCGGAGGAUGAUGUUUACUUCACAGACUAAUGACAGGGCUGGCUUUCUGGGAGUGUUGCAAUGAAAAAGAUUCAGACUCCACGGAACUCCUCCCUAGCAAGGCUGCUCCAGCCAGCAUUACGAGGGCAGUUCCACUGAGCUCAGGAUUUGGGUGUGAGACACAGCUUUCGUCAGAAGAUUUUUAACCAAAUGUGUGUGUGGUUUUGUCCUCUGGAUAAAUGUGUGGGUUCAGUAGCAGCCGUAUCUCCUCGCCACAUUCUCUUAGCUGGUUAUGCGACUGUGAGAAGAAAAGCAAGAGCAAAACAAAAAACAUAGUUGUGACUCUAUAUUAGUUAAAAAUACACCUAUGGAAUUUGAAGGCACCAUAGAAGUCAUCUGCAAAUGGGAAAAACUGAAGCCCAGAGAAGGAGAGUGCCCUGUCCAAGGUCACACAGCAAUGCUUUGUAGCAAAGGAGUGGGAAUGUGGAGGAGGAUGGGAGAAGCGAGCUGACUGUUACUGAGUGCCUUUAAGUGUCAGGCAUUGAGCCCACAGCUGCUUCCCGUGUGCAUCAUUAUCGAGGAUCCAAGGAACCAAGACAGAUGAACGAACACAGUGCAAAGAACCCAAGCUGUAGCUCCAGCAGAUCUGAGUUUGAAUCUUGGCUCCAACACUCAUUCAUUGUGUGGCCUUAGCAAGGAUUUGACCUCCUCAGCCUCGUUUUCUCAAGUUAUAGAGGGGGUGAGAGUUCCUGCCUCUUACAUGUUUUAGAAGCCAUUCAUUUCACACUUACAGUAAAAUGCAGAUAAUGAUGAUAAAGAAAGUCACAGUAGUUCACAUGUAUUGAGUAAUUACUAUAUACCAGACACAGGCCUAAGCACCUCCCAUAUAUUAACUUAUUUAAUCCUUAUAACAACUCUUUUGACAGAGAUUAUUAGAAUCCCCAUAUUAUAGAUGAGGAAACUAAUGCACAGUGAGGUUAAGUACGUUGCACAAGGCUCCAUAGGUAGCAACUGGGAAGUUACACUCAGUAAGAGAAGCACGGAAAAACCCCUGGGACUGGGGGUGUGCAGAUCUGCAUGGAUUGGGAAAGAGCUGGCCUUGUGCCACCACUGUGCCUUGCUCUGUCUCUGCUCAGGUGGGAGCUUAACAGGUAAUGCUGACAACAAUCAGUUUCUUUUUCCAGGUCCUCCCUGCCUUGGUCAUUUUCCCCAGAGGCUUCUCUGUCUAUCUCCAGCCUUGAUUUCCUCCUUGCUGCUUUUCAGCUGCAGCCCUUGUGACUCAGUUCACCUCUCCUACAGGCUUUCUCUCCUCAGUGAGGUCUUGACUCCAUCAUGCCUCAUCAAUCUCCACCCCGUAGAACACCCAGUUUCCUGUCUUUUGCUCCUCUGGUUUCUCUAUUUCCAGGUACCCCAUCACUUCCCUAUCGUCUCUUCUUAGAGUCUGAUCCUGGGAGGCAACUUAUCCUGGCUUCAGCUCCCUAGACUUUUACUCCCAGGAGCACUUGGCCCAGUGGGAGUAGGCAGAGGCUAUAGGACGUCUGCAUGUCAGAGCAGAAGGAGGGAGGUUGGACGUGAUUGACCUUAAGAGUACUUUAAUAAAGCAAACACCGAGCUAGCAUGUGCUGGGCCUAGUAUAGGGAAACAGAGUCAAAGGAAUGGCACCUGGAGGUCCUGGUCACCCAGACCUGAGAAGGCCAUGUGGCUUCAAGUUUGAAUUUCAGGGGCAAAGUUGUCAAUUCAAGGCCUUGGAAAGUAAGUUGAGCCCCCACUGCUGGGCUUCUUGCUGCAAUGCAACUCUCUACCCCCAUUCUCUGAAUUUGUCCAAGAAGCUACAGGUGGUGGCAAAAUCAUCUGAUGAUGAAAAAAAACCCCACUUUGAUUACCCAAGGCAAACCUGGAAGAGUAGAGAUCCAAAAAAAUCCCACACUUCCAGGUCUGAAAACAGGUUAAAAGAGUAAAUGGAACUUGUGACCCUACAUGGCAAACAAUGCUGUUCCAGCUGGGGGAGCGCAGUGCUCAGCAGCCACGGUAACUGACCAGGAACACACCCAGCUCAGCAUCUCAGAUACAGCCAAGGCCCUGAAGCCUUCUCUCCUGGUGAUUCUGCUGCUGUUUGAAGCCCGUGGGUCCCUCCUGGAGGUGGAGCAGCCACCCCCUAUCCCGGCCCCCGCAGCAGCCCGUGCUACUCUGGGCCUGGAGGAGGGAGCAACCUGACUGAUUACACCCACUUCCCCAAAGCUCCUUUUAGUGCGGGCUGUUCCACUUUCCCUGUAGCUUAGCAACCUGAGCCCCUGACAGCUGAUUUACUGGAAAAAAGCUUGACUUUCUGAAAACAACUUUUCUUUUUCCUUCCUUCCUUCGUUCCUUCCUUCUUUCCUUCCUCUCCCUCCCUUCCUUCCUUCCUCUCCCUUUCUUCUUCCUUCCUUCCAAAUAAUCAAACCUUGACUAUUACAAGGUCCUUGUGAAUUCCUCCCAGGGAGGCAGAUUUCACUUCCUCUUGCUUGUGUGCACUCCUGCAUGGACACCAGCCUUCUCCUUGGUCCUCCAACCACGUGUUUCUCCCCAAGUCCCUCCUCCAUACUGUAGCCAGAGUGGUCUUUCUAAAGGUCAGUUCUGAUAAGCUUCCUCUCUUGCUUAAAACUCUCCAGUAGUUCCCAGGAGAAAUGUUCUCGCAGGAUCCUGCAGCAACCAGCCCUGCCUAUCUAUUUGAUGUCACCCCGUUCUUCAUCACACUGUCAUACCCUCUGCCUCACCAGAUUAUAGUUCUCUUUCUUGUCUCCAUGUCUUUGCAUAUGCUGUUCUCUCUGCUCAGCCCUACUUCUGUUUACUUAGCUGUGAAAUAUUCUUUAAGAUCCAGCUUAAAUACCAGCUCCUCUUUGAACCUUCCCUGAUGGCUCUCCAGGUAGAACUGAACAUCCCUUCCUCUGCUUCGGUGGGUUAUAUAUGGCCCUCUACUGCAAAAGUCUGUUUAUGUGGGAUUGUCACUAGACUGUGAACUCCUGGAGGCAGGGAGUAGUCUCAUUCUCCAACGUGUCCCCAGAGCCCAGCACAGUGCCUGACACACAGAGUGCAAUCCAUAUGUGAUCAAAUGAGCGAAUGAGGAAUAUUGGAAGGAAGGAAGGAAGGAAAGGAGGGAUAAUGGGAGGGAGCAAGAAAAGAGGGAAGGAAGGAAGCAAGGAAGGAAUAAAGGAAAGAAGGAGUAUGUGAUAGAAACAAGCGAGUCUGAACAUCCAGAAGCCAACAUCCAGGGAAGUGGGGAAUGAAGGCCAGAAUGACAUCUGGCCACCAGGAUGAAAGCAGCUUCUCAUUGAUGUGCAGGCCCCAACCUUGUGGAUCAAAGGCAAAUAAAGGUGGGCUUCUGGAGGCCUGGCACAAGUACAUGGUACCAGCUGAACCCAUUUGCUCUUACAUCUAUUCCUUGCCUAUUUCUUGCUCUGCUCUGAACCACAGGGAGGCUGACCACUGAAGGCUUCAUGUCAGUGGCUUCUGGGUGGGUUUGACCAAUGGGAGGUGUUGGUGGGAAGCUGGAGGGAGGGAGGAGGGGAAAAGCUAGGGUACUUUUCCCUGUCUCUCUAGUGGCAUUUCUGACAGUGACUGUUUCUGGGUCUCUGGUUCCUGCCAGAUAGACCUGCUACUAUUCCGGCUUUUGGUGGGUGACCCUGGCCCCUGGGCUCAGGUAAUUCUGCUUCUCCUUCUCCUUGUGCACCCAGCCCUUGAAGGGGUGAGCAUUACUUCCGGCUGCUUGGGGUUGCCUCAUCAUCACCUGGUAGAUUUCCCAACUCCGCAGUCACUCGUGUAACCAAUUCUCUGUAUUAAAUCUCCCUUGUUGUAA